rnacentral:misc_RNA from 1 species
GAAAUGCGAUAAGUAAUGUGAAUUGCAGAAUUCAGUGAAUCAUCGAAUCUUUGAACGCACAUUGCGCCCGCCAGUAUUCUGGCGGGCAUGCCUGUCCGAGCGUCAUCUCGACCAUCAAGCCCCCGGGCUUGUGUUGGGGACCUGCGGCUGCCCGCAGGCCCUGAAAACCAGUGGCGGGCUCGCUGUCACACCGAGCGUAGUAGCAAUCACCUCGCUCAGGGCGUGCUGCGGGUUCCGGCCGUUAAACAGCCUUACAAAACCCAAGGUUGACCUCGGAUCAGGUAGGAAGACCCGCUGAACUUAAGC